UGGGGAAUUUUGGACAAUGGGCGAAAGCCUGAUCCAGCAAUGCCGCGUGUGUGAAGAAGGCCUUCGGGUUGUAAAGCACUUUUGUCCGGAAAGAAAUCCUUGGCUCUAAUACAGUCGGGGGAUGACGGUACCGGAAGAAUAAGCACCGGCUAACUACGUGCCAGCAGCCGCGGUAAUACGUAGGGUGCAAGCGUUAAUCGGAAUUACUGGGCGUAAAGCGUGCGCAGGCGGUUUGCUAAGACCGAUGUGAAAUCCCCGGGCUCAACCUGGGAACUGCAUUGGUGACUGGCAGGCUAGAGUAUGGCAGAGGGGGGUAGAAUUCCACGUGUAGCAGUGAAAUGCGUAGAGAUGUGGAGGAAUACCGAUGGCGAAGGCAGCCCCCUGGGCCAACACUGACGCUCAUGCACGAAAGCGUGGGGGAGCAAACAGGAUUAGAUACCCCUGGUAGUCCACGCCCCUAAACGAUGUCAACUAGUUGUUGGGGGAUUCAUUUCCUUAGUAACGUAGCUAACGCGUGAAGUUGACCGCCUGGGGGAGUACGGUCGCAAGAUUAAAACUCAAAUGAAUUGACGGGGUCAUA
rnacentral:rRNA from 1 species